UACAGAGGUCUCGAGCGUUGUUCGGAUUCAUUGGGCGUAAAGGGUGCGUAGGUGGCGAGGUAAGUCGGAUGUGAAAUCCCGGGGCUCAACCCCGGAACUGCAUUCGAUACUGCCUUGCUAGAGUACUGGAGAGGAGAUCGGAAUUUACGGUGUAGCAGUGAAAAUGCGUAGAUAUCGUAAGGAAGACCAGUGGGCGAAGGCGGAUCUCCUGGACAGUGACUGACACUGAGGCACGAAGGCCAGGGGAG
rnacentral:rRNA from 1 species